UGGGGAAUAUUGGGCAAUGGAGGCAACUCUGACCCAGCAACGCCGCGUGAAGGAAGAAGGUUUUCGGAUUGUAAACUUCUGUCGCAGGGGACGAAUAAAUGACGGUACCCUGCAAGAAAGCCCCGGCUAACUACGUGCCAGCAGCCGCGGUAAUACGUAGGGGGCAAGCGUUGUUCGGAAUUACUGGGCGUAAAGGGUGCGUAGGCGGCCUGAUAAGUCAGAUGUGAAAUCCCCGAGCUCAACUUGGGUGUUGCAUUUGAAACUAUCAGGCUUGAGUGCAGGAGAGGAAAGCGGAAUUCCUAGUGUAGCGGUGAAAUGCGUAGAUAUUAGGAGGAACACCAGUGGCGAAGGCGGCUUUCUGGACUGUAACUGACGCUGAGGCACGAAAGCGUGGGGAGCAAACA
rnacentral:rRNA from 1 species